AAGGGAGACCUAAUUCAGGUAUGGGACGAAAAAAAAGUAGUCGCUACCAAGAAUCAAUCCCAAAAGGUCGGAGCGAGGUAUGAGGCUUUCAAACUAGGUUCUGGGUUCAAACAAGACCUGAAUCAGGAAUAAGGGCUAUUAGCUCAGGUGGUUAGAGCGCACCCCUGAUAAGGGUGAGGUCCCUGGUUCGAGUCCAGGAUGGCCCACCUGCACAGGUGGCAAAAACAAGAGAAGCGAGGAAUCAGCACCUUAUCUUAUCUAUAUAUAAGAGAGAAUGCUGGCUCUGAGUAAAGAGUCCAGAGGAACCUUGAAAACUGCAUAGAGCUAGGUGAAAAAGCCAAAAAAGAAGACCGCAA
rnacentral:tRNA from 1 species